rnacentral:rRNA from 1 species
CAUGUAGGCGGUUGUUUAAGUCUGAUGUGAAAGCCCUGGACUCAACCCAGGAAGUGCAUUGGAUACUGGACAACUUGAGUACGGGAGAGGAAAGUGGAAUUUCGAGUGUAGGGGUGAAAUCCGUAGAUAUUCGAAGGAACACCAGUGGCGAAGGCGGCUUUCUGGACCGAUACUGACGCUGAGAUGCGAAAGCGUGGGGAGCAAACAGGAUUAGAUACCCUGGUAGUCC